rnacentral:rRNA from 1 species
UACGAAGGGGGCUAGCGUUGCUCGGAAUCACUGGGCGUAAAGGGUGCGUAGGCGGGUCUUUAAGUCAGGGGUGAAAUCCUGGAGCUCAACUCCAGAACUGCCUUUGAUACUGAGGAUCUUGAGUUCGGGAGAGGUGAGUGGAACUGCGAGUGUAGAGGUGAAAUUCGUAGAUAUUCGCAAGAACACCGGUGGCGAAGGCGGUUAGCUGGGCAGUUGCUGGACACU